rnacentral:rRNA from 1 species
UACGUAGGGUGCGAGCGUUGUCCGGAAUUACUGGGCGUAAAGAGCUCGUAGGUGGUUUGUCGCGUUGUUCGUGAAAUGCCACAGCUUAACUGUGGGCGUGCGGGCGAUACGGGCAGACUGGAGUACUGCAGGGGAGACUGGAAUUCCAGGUGUAGCGGUGAAAUGCUUAGAUAUCUGGAGGAACACCAGUGGCGAAGGCGGUGUUCUGGGCCUGUACUGACGCUGAGGCGCGAAAGCGUGGGGAGCGAACAGG